rnacentral:snRNA from 2 species
GUGCUAGCUUCGGCAGCACAUAUACUAAAAAUUGGAAUGAUACAGAGAAGAUUAGCAUGGCCUCUGUGCAAGGAUGACAUGCAAAUGCGUGAAGCAUUCCAUAUUUUU